UUCUUCUUUUCAAUCACGGAUCUGUGUCCGCGAUCCUCUGCUUACAGUCAGGGUUGAUUGCUGGCAAUUCGAUAACUCAUGGAGCCAUCAACUUGUUAUGAUGUCAAUUAUCCUAUCGACGGGUCCCAGAACGAUUGGGUAAAUCUUACGCUGUCCGAGAUCACUCUCUGAGUUUGAGCUUUAUCAGUAUUGGUUUACUCGCAGGCGCUAUAUUCCACUCCCCUUUUCCUAGGCCGUCGGCUUAUGCGGUUGGGGCAAACCAUGGGUUAGCCUACAUAU
rnacentral:sRNA from 1 species